CGCGCAGGUGGGGAUGUAAGUCAGUGGUGAAAUGUUGCCGCUCAACGGUAAAAUUGCCAUUGAUACUGCAUCUCUUGAGUAUGGUUGAGGUAGGCGGAAUGUGUUGUGUAGCGGUGAAAUGCAUAGAUAUGACACAGAACACCGAUUGCGAAGGCAGCUUACUAAGCCAUUACUGACGCUGAGGCACGAAAGCGUGGGUAGCGAACAGGAUUAGAUACCCUGGUAGUCC
rnacentral:rRNA from 1 species